rnacentral:tRNA from 1 species
GAUGGGGAUGGCUCAGGGUAAGCGGGCAUCCUUUGCACGGACGCUGCGGUGGGUUCGAGUCCCACCUUCUCCACCA